AUUGAACGCUGGCGGCAGGCCUAACACAUGCAAGUCGAGCGAGCGGCGGACGGGUGAGUAAUGUCUGGGGAUCUGCCCGAUAGAGGGGGAUAACUACUGGAAACGGUGGCUAAUACCGCCUACUAUCGGAUGAAUCCAUAUUGGAUUAGCUAGUAGGUGGGGUAAAGGCUCACCGAGGCGACGAUCUCUAGCUGGUCUGAGAGGAUGAUCCGCAACACUGGAACGGGGACACGGUCCAGACUCCUACGGGAGGCAGCAGUGGGGAAUAUUGGACAAUGGGCGGAAGCCUGACCCAGCCAUGCCGCGUGUGUGAAGAAGGGCUGCGGAUUGUAAAGCACUUUAAGUUGGGAGGCGUUACCAACAGAAUAAGCACCGGCUAACUCCGUGCCAGCAGCCGCGGUAAUUC
rnacentral:rRNA from 1 species